rnacentral:lncRNA from 1 species
GAAAUUCCAUUUUUGCCCUCACUUGAAAUUUCACAUUUUCACUAACAAUUCCAAUUUGGCUAAUUACAUGAUUAAGGAAUGAUUAAGCUCACAUAUAUAAACCUAAACACAUUCUAAUCAUAACAGAAUUUCACAUUUACCAAAGUUGGAUCAAAAGCCUCUUCAUUCUCUCAAGUUUGCUCAAGAACACAUUGGAUCCAAAUUCAUCAAACUUCUUGAUUCCUCAACCAAUUCU